CUUUUUCGAUUGGGUAUGGCUUCAACUAUUCCUCAAGCCCAAAACACUAACAAAUUCAAUUUCUAAUAGGCAAAAUCAUAAAAUUUGAGUGCAAACCCUAACCUGAUCUUUAAAGCACGGCUAAAGCACAUAGUAACCUUGCUGUAAUCACUUCGUUUGAAAGCAUUGUUCCUCUUUCCAUAAACUCUUAUGCAAAAUCCACUGUCUUCUCUCGUUCUCCGCCAGUGAUGACACCUGAAAAUUCACCAUUGGUGAGGUGAACGACACUGACAGCACGAUUGGACAGUGCAGGAGUUAGGGUUUUGUGGCCACUGAAAUUAUGGUGAAAUGAGGGUUCAAGUGGCUGCUGAGAUUAAGAGUUAGGGUUUUGACUAUAGGAAAAGCUAAAGGGAACACUUAGAGUAAAAUUUUGGAGUGCAAUUUUGGUGUAGUUGAAGUGAGGAUCGAAAAUUUUAGGAAUCGCGGAGGAGAGAGCAAAAUUUGGGAGGGCAUAAGAGAGUGGGAAAUUUUGGUUAAGUGAUGAAAUAAAAGCGUCUAAAAUUUUGGUUGAAGUGUUACAAGCAUUUUUUUUUUCUAUUUUUUAAUAUGAAACGUUUUGAAUUUUCGUCUCUUUAGUUUUUUGUUUCAUCUUUAAAACUCACCGUUUUGAGUAAGUUCUAAAACGCACUGUUUUGAUUUUUUUAAAUAAAAUAAAAUAUUAAUAGUUGGUCAAAUAUGGUCAGAACAUAUUUCUAUCAUAAUUUCUUGAUAGAAUAAAAAUC
rnacentral:lncRNA from 1 species